CGGCAGGCCUAACACAUGCAAGUCGAACGGUAACAUGGAUUGCUUGCAAUCUGAUGACGAGUGGCGCACGGGUGCGUAACGCGUAUAGAACCUACCCUUUACAGGGGGAUAGCCCGGAGAAAUUCGGAUUAAUACCCCAUAGUAAUACUAAGUGGCAUCAUUUGGUAUUUAAAGUUUCGGCGGUAGAGGAUGGCUAUGCGUCUUAUUAGUUAGUAGGUGAGGUAACGGCUCACCUAGACAGCGAUAAGUAGGGGCCCUGAGAGGGGGAUCCCCCACACUGGUACUGAGACACGGACCAGACUCCUACGGGAGGCAGCAGUGAGGAAUAUUGGACAAUGGUCGAGAGACUGAUCCAGCCAUGCCGCGUGCAGGAAGACGGCCUUACGGGUUGUAAACUGCUUUUAUACGGGAAGAAUAAUACCCACGUGUGGGUAGAUGACGGUACCGUAAGAAUAAGGACCGGCUAACUCCGUGCCAGCAGCCGCGGUAAUACGGAGGGUCCGAGCGUUAUCCGGAAUUAUUGGGUUUAAAGGGUCCGCAGGCGGGUCAGUAAGUCAGGGGUGAAAGUUUGCGGCUUAACCGUAAAAUUGCCUUUGAUACUGCUGGUCUUGAGUUGCGGUGAAGUGGCUGGAAUAUGUGGUGUAGCGGUGAAAUGCAUAGAUAUCACAUAGAACACCGAUUGCGAAGGCAGGUCACUAACUGCCGACUGACGCUGAUGGACGAAAGCGUGGGGAGCGAACGGGAUUAGAUACCCCGGUAGUCCACGCCGUAAACGAUGGACACUAGCUGUCGGGCCGAUUUACGUUCGGUGGCUAAGCGAAAGUUAUAAGUGUCCUACCUGGGUAGUACGUCGGCAACGAUGUAACUCAAAGGAAUUGUCGGGGUCCCGCACAAGCGGUGGAGCACGUGGUUUAAUUCGAUGAUACGCGAGGAACCUUAACAAGGGCUUAACUGUAGUGGUACAGGCUUAGAGAUAGGCUUUUCUUCGGACUCAUUACAAGGUGCUGCAUGGUUGUCGUCAGCUCGUGCCGUGUAGGUGUCAGGUUAAGUCCUAUAACGAGCGCAACCCAUACCGUUAGUUGCCAGCGAGUCAAGUCGGGGACUCUAACGGAACUGCCGGUGCAAACCGCGAGCAAGGUGGGGAUGACGUCAAAUCAUCACGGCCCUUACGUCCUGGGCUACACACGCGCUACAAUGGCCGGUACAAUGAGCAGCCGCGUCGCA
rnacentral:rRNA from 1 species